ACCAAAAAAAUUCAACCCUAAAAUAUUUGCAUAAAUCUUUUAUUGUUUCUAUCGUGGAUCCCUACAAAAUUUUGUCCAUCCAAAAUCAUUUCUCGUGGACCACUUCAAUCGUUCUCCAUUGGCCCUCACCACCGUUCAGCCCUCACCCUCAAUCGUUCAACGUUGAAACACCAGCCUUCACCGCCAUGGACCAGACGCCUUCACUGCCAUCGAAACGCCAUAGGCCUUCCCCGUUGUUCAACGUUCUCCCUUCGAAACACCAGACGCCUCCCACUGUCCAGAACGUUCAGUGCUGGAAACCCACUCCGAAAAUCUUCUCCAUGACCUCCCCUUCCCCAUCGACAACUGCCCUUCACUGUCGAAAAUUCCGUCCAUCAUCCCAGCUUACUUAGAGCCCGCAAAGGAAUUCAAAGGAGUAUUUAGACAAAGUCGAAGAGGACCAUAAAGAAAAGGAAGAAGAGAAGUAACUUAAUCUAGAUUCAGAUACAAUAAAUUAUGUUUGAUUUGCUUUCAUUAGACUUCUAGUUACUUAUGAUUUGAACAUCUUACACUAUUAUAUCUUUAGGAUAUUUUGAAUUGUCAAUUUAGUUUCAUUUUAGAAUUAUCAAAACUUUGAAUCUUUAAAUGAUCGAAUGAUAUAGUUUUGUGGAA